GACGAACGCUGGCGGCGUGCCUAACACAUGCAAGUCGAGCGAUCUUCUUCGGAAGAGAGCGGCGGACGGGUGAGUAACGCGUGGGUAACCUGCCCUGUACACACGGAUAACAUACCGAAAGGUAUGCUAAUACGAGAUAAUAUACUUUUAUCGCAUGGUAGAAGUAUCAAAGCUCCGGCGGUACAGGAUGGACCCGCGUCUGAUUAGCUAGUUGGUAAGGUAACGGCUUACCAAGGCGACGAUCAGUAGCCGACCUGAGAGGGCGAUCGGCCACAUUGGAACCGAGACACGGUCCAAACUCCUACGGGAGGCAGCAGUGGGGAAUAUUGCACAAUGGGCGAAAGCCUGAUGCAGCAACGCCGCGUGAGCGAUGAAGGCCUUCGGGUCGUAAAGCUCUGUCCUCAAGGAAGGUAAUGACGGUACUUGAGGAGGAAGCCCCGGCUAACUACGUGCCAGCCGCCGCCGUAA
rnacentral:rRNA from 1 species